GAAAUGCGAUAAGUAGUGUGAAUUGCAGAAUUCAGUGAAUCAUCGAAUCUUUGAACGCACAUUGCGCCCCUUGGUAUUCCAUGGGGCAUGCCUGUUCGAGCGUCAUUUGUACCCUCAAGCUCUGCUUGGUGUUGGGUGUUUGUCCCCGUCUCCGCGCGUGGACUCGCCCCAAAGUGAUUGGCAGCCGGCGUACUGGUCCCGGAGCGCAGCACAUGUCGCGCAAACGAGUGCCUUGGUACGGCGGCGUCCAUAAGCCCCUCUCUCACGCUCUUGACCUCGGAUCAGGUAGGGUUACCCGCUGAACUUAAGC
rnacentral:misc_RNA from 1 species